UGGGGUUACAGCCUUGCUGAAUUAUUCACCCGUGUCUUUUGCGUACUUCUUGUUUCCUUGGUGGGUUCGCCCACCAUAGGACAAACCAUUAAACCUUUUGUAAUUGCAAUCAGCGUCAGUAAAAAAAUUAAUAAUUACAACUUUUAACAACGGAUCUCUUGGUUCUGGCAUCGAUGAAGAACGCAGCGAAAUGCGAUAAGUAGUGUGAAUUGCAGAAUUCAGUGAAUCAUCGAAUCUUUGAACGCACAUUGCGCCCUUUGGUAUUCCAAAGGGCAUGCCUGUUCGAGCGUCAUUUGUACCCUCAAGCUUUGCUUGGUGUUGGGCGUCUUGUCUCCAGUUCGCUGGAGACUCGCCUUAAAGUAAUUGGCAGCCGGCCUACUGGUUUCGGAGCGCAGCACAAGUCGCGCUCUCUUCCAGCGAAGGUCAGCAUCCACAAAGCCUUUUUUCAACUUUUGACCUCGGAUCAGGUAGGGAUACCCGCUGAACU
rnacentral:rRNA from 1 species